rnacentral:misc_RNA from 1 species
UUACCGUAGGUGAACCUGCGGAAGGAUCAUUAUUGUAUAACCGGGGUACGAGGGCUGUCGCUGACCCGAAAGGUCGUGCACGCCCGAGUGCCCUCACACACAUCCAUCUCACCCCUAUGUGCACCACCGCGUGGGUCCCCCUUUGGCUUGUUCGGAGGGGGGCUUACGUUUUCACACAAACUUUGUAUGCAGUGUAGAAUGUAUUUUUUGUUUUUGCGAUCACGCAAUCAAUACAACUUUCAACAACGGAUCUCUUGGCUCUC